CCUAUCAAGCGCUAUGUCAGA
rnacentral:misc_RNA from 1 species